CCUAACACAUGCAAGUCGAACGGUAACAGGAAGAAGCUUGCUUCUUUGCUGACGAGUGGCGGACGGGUGAGUAAUGUCUGGGAAACUGCCUGAUGGAGGGGGAUAACUACUGGAAACGGUAGCUAAUACCGCAUAACGUCGCAAGACCAAAGAGGGGGACCUUCGGGCCUCUUGCCAUCGGAUGUGCCCAGAUGGGAUUAGCUAGUAGGUGGGGUAACGGCUCACCUAGGCGACGAUCCCUAGCUGGUCUGAGAGGAUGACCAGCCACACUGGAACUGAGACACGGUCCAGACUCCUACGGGAGGCAGCAGUGGGGAAUAUUGCACAAUGGGCGCAAGCCUGAUGCAGCCAUGCCGCGUGUAUGAAGAAGGCCUUCGGGUCGUAAAGUACUUUCAG
rnacentral:rRNA from 1 species